UACGGAGGGGGCUAGCGUUGUUCGGAAUUACUGGGCGUAAAGCGCACGUAGGCGGCUUUGUAAGUUAGAGGUGAAAGCCCGGGGCUCAACUCCGGAAUUGCCUUUAAGACUGCAUCGCUCGAAUUGUGGAGAGGUAAGUGGAAUUCCGAGUGUAGAGGUGAAAUUCGUAGAUAUUCGGAAGAGCACCAGUGGCGAAGGCGACUUACUGGACACA
rnacentral:rRNA from 1 species